UCAAUGGAGAGUUUGAUCCUGGCUCAGGAUGAACGCUGGCGGCGUGCUUAACACAUGCAAGUCGAACGAGGGCCCGGAGCUUGCUCCGGUGACCCGAGUGGCGAACGGGUGAGUAACACGUGACCAACCUGUCCAAGGGUGAGGGACAACCCGGUGAAAACUGGGCUAAUACCGCAUGAUGUCACACUUCCGCAUGGUUGUGUGAUCAAAGAGGGCCUCUGCUUGCAUGCUCUCGCCCAUGGAGGGGGUCGCGACGUAUCAGUUUGUUGGUGGGGUAAUGGCCUACCAAGACUACGACGCGUAGCGGAUCUGAGAGGAUGAUCCGUCACAUUGGGACUGAGAUACGGCCCAGACUCCUACGGGAGGCAGCAGUGGGGAAUAUUGCGCAAUGGGCGAAA
rnacentral:rRNA from 1 species